rnacentral:lncRNA from 1 species
UUUUUUUUUGCUUGUUUUCAACUUAUUUUUUUAGAAAUAAAAAAAAAUUGAGUUAAGAUCAAUGGUUUAUUCAUUAGUUAUUAAGAUUUAAAUCUAUUAUAGGAAUUAUUAGGAUUUGAUUUAGAGUUUGGUUAAGAUUUGGUUUAGGAUUUAGGAUUUGGAUUAGGGUUUGAUUUAGGAUUUAGGGUUUGAUUUAGAAUUUGGUUUAGAAUUUGGUUAGGAUUUGAUUUAGGAUUUAGUUAGGGUUUGAUUUAGGAUUUAGGAUUUAGAUUAGGAUUUGGUUUAGGGUUUAGGAUUUGGAUUAGGAUUUGGUUUGGGUUUGAUUUAGGAUUUAGGAUUUGGUUUAGGGUUUGGUUUAGGAUUUGGUUAGGAUUUGGUUUAGAAUUUGGUUGGAGUUUGGUUUAAGGUUUAUUUAGGGUUUGAUUUAGGAUUUAGGAUUUUAUUAGGAUAUAAGAUUCAAUUAGUUUUGGCCUAAAUUUUGAAUGAAGUUCAAUAGAAUUUUAACUAGAAUUAAAUUAAGAUUGAAUUGAGAUAUAUUUGAAUGAUAUUUGUGAUCCUUCUAAUAUUUCUUUAAGAAUUCUUAUUGUUUUUUUGAAAUUUCUUUGAGAUUUUUUUGAAUUUGAUUAAGCUUGCUUAUCAUUAUUAUGGUUUAAUUAGAGCAUUAUUAGUAUUCUACA